rnacentral:tRNA from 1 species
UGGCUCAGAGGUUAAGAGCACUGGAUGCCUUCCAGAGGACCUGGGUUUAAUUCCCAG